rnacentral:rRNA from 1 species
CCGUAGCCUUUCAGAGGGGGACAACAGUUGGAAACGACUGCUAAUACCGCAUACGAUCUAACCUCGGCAUCGAGGAUGGAUGAAAGGUGGCCUCUAUUUAUAAGCUAUCACUGAAGGAGGGGAUUGCGUCUGAUUAGCUAGUUGGAGGGGUAACGGCCCACCAAGGCGAUGAUCAGUAGCCGGUCUGAGAGGAUGAACGGCCACAUUGGGACUGAGACACGGCCCAG